UGGUCUUGACAUCCCUCUGACCGCUCUUUAUCGGAGCUUUCCUUCGGGACAGAGGAGACAGGUGGUGCAUGGUUGUCGUCAGCUCGUGUCGUGAGAUGUUGGGUUAAAUCCCGCAACGAGCGCAACCCCUAUCUUUAGUAGCCAGCGUUUCGGAUGGGCACUCUAGAGAGACUGCCAGGGAUAACCUGGAGGAAGGUGGGGAUGACNUCAAAUCAUCAUGCCCCUUAUGACCAGGGCUACACACGUGCUACAAUGGCGUAAACAAAGGGAAGCGAACCUGCGAGGGGGAGCAAAUCCCAAAAAUAACGUCUCAGUUCGGAUUGUAGUCUGCAACUCGACUACAUGAAGCUGGAAUCGCUAGUAAUCGCGAAUCAGAAUGUCGCGGUGAAUACGUUCCCGGGUCUUGUACACACCG
rnacentral:rRNA from 1 species